rnacentral:rRNA from 1 species
UGGGGAAUUUUGGACAAUGGGCGCAAGCCUGAUCCAGCAAUGCCGCGUGCAGGGUGAAGGCCUUCGGGUUGUAAACUGCUUUUGUACGGAACGAAAAGCCUCUCUCUAAUACAGGGGGUGAUGACGGUACCGUAAGAAUAAGCACCGGCUAACUACGUGCCAGCAGCCGCGGUAAUACGUAGGGUGCAAGCGUUAAUCGGAAUUACUGGGCGUAAAGCGUGCGCAGGCGGUUUUGUAAGACAGUGGUGAAAUCCCCGGGCUCAACCUGGGAACUGCCAUUGUGACUGCAAGGCUGGAGUGCGGCAGAGGGGGAUGGAAUUCCGCGUGUAGCAGUGAAAUGCGUAGAUAUGCGGAGGAACACCGAUGGCGAAGGCAAUCCCCUGGGCCUGCACUGACGCUCAUGCACGAAAGCGUGGGGAGCAAACAGGAUUAGAUACCCUGGUAGUCCACGCCCUAAACGAUGUCAACUGGUUGUUGGGGAUUUAUUUCUUCAGUAACGAAGCUAAC